CAGCCGCGAUUGCCAGAAAAAAGCAGAACCCAGACGCGCAGAAAAUUUCCAGAAUUUCUCCUUCCCUUCUCCUUCCUCACGCGACCCCGCGUCUCUUUCACGCGUAAGAUUCCCCACCGUUCUUCCUCUUCUCCUUCACCACGCGACACCCCCAGCAGAAAAAACAGAACCGAACCCGAUAGCACAACUGUCUCUUGUCGUUCUCUCGCAGCAUCUCCCUCGCUUGUACGACUCUGCAGCACAAGACGACGCGAGAUUCAUCGUUGGUGUCGUGGGAUUGAGCCACGUCGUUUGCCAAGGACGAGGGAUCGAUCUCCACCCUCCACCUCGCCUUUUCCGUUCGAGUCGUCCGUAUUUGGAUAAGGUUUGGAAUUUGAAUUCCAAAUGGGCCGAAUAUUUUGGAAAUCCCUCGUCUUACCCCCCUAAUCAAAACCCUAAUUUUCUCUUCUAUAUAAACCCCAUCUUCUUCAGAAAAGGGGUUGGAAAUUUUAGGUUGGGAAAUUUUGGGGUUAAAAAUUUUUCAAGCUUCUCUUUUCGACUGUUCUUCUUCUGUCCAGUUUGAGAGGAGAUUGUCAACCUAUUUUAGAAAGUUUCGUCAAGAACAAAAUAGGUAUAGAGAUAAACCUAAGGGAUCGAAAAGAAGUUGAGAAAUACUUUCAGUUCCGUCGUUCGGCUGUGGUAUUCCGUUUAGACGUCUUAGCCGUGGUUCGAGUGUGCUUUCGGUGAUGAAGUUCAUUCCUCGUCUAGCUCGACAAUCCUCGUUCGCUGCUUUUGAUAAGAUGUCGAGUCAGUUCCUUCAUUUCAACAUGGUCACCCAGGCGCCUGAUAUUCUUCGCGUAUAGUGGGACAACCUCAAAGAGUGUCAAAAGAGAGAAAUCUUGAUUUACUUGGGUCACCUACCUUCUAUAAUGAACUUCAAGGUAUGACCCACGUUUAUCGAGGUCAUCACUCAAUUUUGGGACGACGAGAAGAUGGUCUUUCGAUUCGGAGAUAUCGAAAUAACACCCACACUAGAGGAAAUCAAGGAAUGCCUUGACUCAAUUAGGACAUGUGGCAAAAGGAAAAAAUGUCUGAAUCAUCACAUUCUCCUUCCAGAUAGGCCAACUAGUAAUGAAUUGAAAAACAUAUUAUUCCUUGUGAAUGCAAAUUGGUUAGAGACCCACGACAUUCCACUAAUGAGAUUUUUCGAAAGAUGGAGGCACGACAAUUAUUUCAAACUAUUCCCGAACGAAUUCUACGAUUACAGUAGCUAGAGGCAAACUCAGGCUAUUGCUUUCUCCGCAUGCCUUUUAGAAACUAUGGUGUUCCUUAAAGAUGAAGGAAAAGAAAUCGAUACACGGGUAGUGAUGGUGGUGAAUGCCAUGUUCAGAGGAAUAGGUAGAAAAUCAGAAGAAAAGAAGUAUUGUUGUUUGGCCCUAGUCAUUUUGGCCGACAUUUAUCAAUCCUUAAGUCUGUGUAAAAAUUGGUUCCUAUUUUUCCAAGGUUGCAACAUUCUACUCCAAUGGUGGUUGACUGAGCAUUUAUGUAAAAGGGACGACCCCCAGCCACAGGAGUUGGCCAAACCAAGUCAGAGAAGGCCAUAAGAGGAGCCGAAUCAUCAACCUUUUAACUCCCCUGCGUGGGAUUGUUUUUAUAUAUGUAUUUGCAUUACAUCCCUUUCCUAAAAUGUAUCCCGUUUGAUUUUUAUUAUGUAAUGAACGUUAUGAUAUUUAGUGAAAUUUAUUUCGGGGAUA